rnacentral:rRNA from 1 species
AGUUUGAUCAUGGCUCAGGACGAACGCUGGCGGCGUGCCUAAUACAUGCAAGUCGAACGAUCCCUUCGGGGAUAGUGGCGGACGGGUGAGUAACACGUAGGUAACCUGCCUGUAAGACUGGGAUAACUUUCGGAAACGGAAGCUAAGACCGGAUAGGAGUCGACCUCGCAUGAGGAUGACUGGAAAAGGGGAGCAAUCUCCUGCUUAUGGAUGGACCUGCGGCGCAUUAGCUAGUUGGUGGGGUAAUGGCUCACCAAGGCGACGAUGCGUAGCCGACCUGAGAGGGUGAACGGCCACACUGGGACUGAGACACGGCCCAGACUCCUACGGGAGGCAGCAGUAGGGAAUCUUCCGCAAUGGACGCAAGUCUGACGGAGCAACGCCGCGUGAGUGAUGAAGGUUUUCGGAUCGUAAAGCUCUGUUGCCAGGGAAGAACACUGAUUUAGGUAACUCUAGAUCAACUGACGGUACCUGAGAAGAAAGCCCCGGCUAACUACGUGCCAGCAGCCGCGGUAAUACGUAGGGGGCAAGCGUUGUCCGGAAUUAUUGGGCGUAAAGCGCGCGCAGGCGGCAAGGAAAGUCUUGUGUCAAAGACCGGAGCUCAACUCCGGGUUGCAUGGGAAACUGCCUUGCUUGAGUGUAGGAGAGGGAAGUGGAAUUCCACGUGUAGCGGUGAAAUGCGUAGAUAUGUGGAGGAACACCAGUGGCGAAGGCGACUUUCUGGCCUAUAACUGACGCUGAGGCGCGAAAGCGUGGG